UACGGGGGGAGCAAGCGUUGUUCGGAUUUACUGGGCGUAAAGGGCGCGUAGGCGGUCAGCACAAGUCAGUUGUGAAAUCUCCGGGCUUAACUCGGAAAGGUCAACUGAUACUGUGCGACUAGAGUGCAGAAGGGGCAACUGGAAUUCUCGGUGUAGCGGUGAAAUGCGUAGAUAUCGAGAGGAACACCUGAGGCGAAGGCGGGCUACUGGGCCGAUACUGACGCUGAGGCGCGAAAGCCAGGGGAGCAAACGGG
rnacentral:rRNA from 1 species